GGCGCCCUGAAACCCGAUAUGUCAGGCAAGCUGGUGGGAUCCUGGGAUCCCUCAUGUAACGGCACUCAUUCUGACAGAAGCAGAGAUAAAACAGACUAAGUACACAGAGGAGUUUAAGGUUUCGUGAAUGUAAGUGCUGAGUACAGAAUGGUGCUCAAUAAAAGCUUGUUAAUUGAUGGACCACAGGUUUGUGACAAGACUUCUCAGAGUCUGAUUCUUUCAAGGUGGGAUAUAAGAGUAAGAUACCUUGACUAUGAAUAAUAGUUUCAAUAAGGAAGACAGAAUGAGUUCUGACACGAUGGUUGGGAGCUGUGACAGGCAGACGAAAAAUGGAGCCAAAUGGCAUGGAGGUGUGUCAUCACUGCUGGAUUUUACCUUGAUCUACAUUCAGUUAUCUACUUCUUUUCAAAAUGCUGGGCAUUCAUUCAAGAAACAGCAUAUAUGUUCUGACUUUGAAGUAAUGGAUGAACUGUCAUGUGCAGUAUAUGGAAAUAAGUUUUAUUACCUUCUUCCCACAUUAACUCAUCCAUCCAUUCAAUAGCCAUUUAUUGAGAAGCUCACUCUGUGUUAGGCACAGUGGUGUCAUGAUGUUGGAACAGUAACAAUAACUCAACCAACCAGGGCUUGUCUGAAUACAAUCCUACAGCAGCAGGAGCUGUGGAGAUAUAGAAGGCAAGGAAGACCAGGUUGUGAGGGAAGACGAAUUUACUCCCAGGAAUGUUGGGAUUGAGAGUAAUAUUCUCCAAUAAUGGUGGAAGACAGAACAAUAAAAGCCCACCAGCUCCUUCUGCAUGGUGGGAUAAGAGAAAAGCCAAGGGCAGAAGUGAGAAAAAUAACCAUCACCAAACUGAAAAGAAAACCUUUAUAAAAAAACUGGAUUGAUAAAUGACCUUUAGUAGUGGAAAGAUACCAUUCCAAUGAAGCAUGAAUUGAAAGGAUUUCUUCUGAAAGCUAAUUUACAUUUUUCUUUUUUUUUUUUUCAUUUUCAGUGUGUUUUAGCAGGUGUAUUGUUCUACAUGGUUAGUUUCUUUACCUCUUUGAGAAAAAUGGGUCAGCUUGACACAUCUGGAUGAAAGAAUCCGUUAGGUGAUUAUGAUUGAAGACAGAUUAAGCCUUGUUAUGAGGGGAAUAUUUGGGGGCUUACCCUGAGGUGAUAUUUGAUGAUUUAGCUGUGGGAGAAUUUCCCUCCCAAGAUCAGCGUGACUGACACUGAAAUUGCUACAGGGGAACCGGACCUUUCCAAGAGGUGACAAGGACAUUUACCUGGUACAACACAAUGGUUCUGGACUGGAAGUCUAGUCCCAUUGAUGAAGUUCCCAAAAGAUGUCCAGGUCCUAAUCCCUGGAAUCUGUGAAUAUGUCAUCUUACACAUCAAAAGAACUUUGAAAAUGUGAUUGAGGUUAAGGACCUUGGAAUGAGGAGAUUACCUUGGAUUAUCUGGUUGGGUCCAAGCUAAUCACAUGAGUCCUUAAAGGAGAAGAACCUUUUUUAGCUGGGUCAGAGAGAGAUGUGAUGAUGAAAACAGGCUCAGGGAGAUGCACUGUAAGAAGGGCUUGACCAGUUGUUUUUGACUUUGAAGAUGGAGGGAAGGGCCAGGAGCCAAGGAAGGUGGGUGGCUUUUGGAAGGUGGAAAAAGCAAGGGAACAUUCUCUCCAGAGCCUCCAGAAAGGAGCUCAGCCCUGUUGACAUCUUUGUUUUUAUUUUUUAUUUUUAGUAGCAUUGAGGUCUCACUAUGUUGCACAGGCUGGUCUUGAACUCUUGAGCUCAAGCACUCCUCCCGCCUUGGCUUCCCAAAGUGCUGGGAUUAUAGGCAUGUGCCACCACAUCUGGCUUCCUACUGACAUCUUAACUUUAGUGCAGUGAGACUCAUAUUUGAAUUUCUGACCUUAUAUUAUAGAACCAUAAGACAUUAUAGAAUUAUAUAGAAUUAUAGAACCAUAAGACAAUAACUUUGUGUUGUUUUAAGAUACUAAAUUUUUGGUAAUUUGUUAUGGCAGCACAAUAAAACCAAUAUAGCAUUAUAUUAUGCCAAUAUCAUCUCUUUGUUGACUAUUGCUAUUAUAGUUUGUUUUAUGGGU
rnacentral:lncRNA from 1 species